UAACCAGCAUCAAUAGUCCA
rnacentral:misc_RNA from 1 species